GUCAGCAGAGAUAGUACGUUGAAUGUACCAGCUUCCAAAGGUUCACUGAAGUUAAGUAACGUUGCGCGUGGUUGGAAACCUAUUGGGUGACAAUCGAGGCAAUCGCGUGUUGCUGGCU
rfam:Asian citrus Psyllid, Diaphorina citri - Florida Strain, whole genome shotgun sequence.